CAGUCGCCGCGGGAAUACGUAGGGUGCGAGCGUUAAUCGGAAUUACUGGGCGUAAAGCGUGCGCAGGCGGUUGUGUAAGACAGGUGUGAAAUCCCCGGGCUCAACCUGGGAAUGGCAGUGGAUACUGGCUCGCUAGAGUGUGUCAGAGGAUGGUGGAAUUCUCGGUGUAGCGGUGAAAUGCGUAGAGAUCGGGAGGAACAUCAGUGGCGAAGGCGGCCAUCUGGGACAACACUGACGCUGAGGCACGAAAGCGUGGGGAGCAAACAGGAUUAGAUACCCCCGUAGUCCCUGUCUCUUAUAC
rnacentral:rRNA from 1 species